GACGAACGCUGGCGGCGUGCCUAAUACAUGCAAGUAGAACGCUGAAGGAGGAGCUUGCUCUUUCUGGAUGAGUUGCGAACGGGUGAGUAACGCGUAGGUAACCUGCCUGGUAGCGGGGGAUAACUAUUGGAAACGAUAGCUAAUACCGCAUAAUAGUAGAUGUUGCAUGACAUUUGCUUAAAAGGUGCAAUUGCAUCACUACCAGAUGGACCUGCGUUGUAUUAGCUAGUUGGUGAGGUAACGGCUCACCAAGGCAACGAUACAUAGCCGACCUGAGAGGGUGAUCGGCCACACUGGGACUGAGACACGGCCCAGACUCCUACGGGAGGCAGCAGUAGGGAAUCUUCGGCAAUGGACGGAAGUCUGACCGAGCAACGCCGCGUGAGUGAAGAAGGUUUUCGGAUCGUAAAGCUCUGUUGUAAGAGAAGAACGAGUGUGAGAGUGGAAAGUUCACACUGUGA
rnacentral:rRNA from 1 species